CAUGCAAGUCGUACGAGAACUCUUUAGCUUGCUAAAGAUAGUAAAGUGGCGCACGGGUGAGUAACGCGUGGGUAAUCUACCUCUGAAUCGGGGAUAACCCGCCGAAAGGCGAGCUAAUACCGGAUAAUAUCUAUAAAACUUAGGUUUUUAGGAUCAAAGGUGGUCUCUACAUGUAAGCUACUGUUUGGAGAUGAGCCCGCGUACCAUUAGCUUGUUGGUAGGGUAAUGGCCUACCAAGGCCGCGAUGGUUAGCUGGUCUGAGAGGAUGAUCAGCCACACUGGAACUGACACACGGUCCAGACUCCUACGGGAGGCAGCAGUGAGGAAUUUUGCGCAAUGGGGGAAACCCUGACGCAGCAACGCCGCGUGAGUGAUGAAGGCUUUCGGGUCGUAAAGCUCUGUCAAGUGGGAAGAAAAUGCUCGAUGCUAAUACCAUCUUGUACUGACGGUACCACUAAAGGAAGCACCGGCUAACUCCGUGCCAGCAGCCGCGGUAAUACGGGGGGUGCAAGCGUUAUUCGGAAUUAUUGGGCGUAAAGGGCGCGUAGGCGGUCUCUUAAGUCAGAUGUGAAAGCCCGGGGCUUAACCCUGGAAGUGCAUUUGAAACUAAGGGACUUGAGUAUGGGAGAGGGAAGUGGAAUUCCUGGUGUAGAGGUGAAAUUCGUAGAUAUCAGGAGGAACACCGGUGGCGAAGGCGACUUCCUGGACCAAUACUGACGCUAAGGCGCGAAGGCGUGGGGAGCAAACAGGAUUAGAUACCCUGGUAGUCCACGCAGU
rnacentral:rRNA from 1 species